UCACUCACGGCCGUGCAUUCAGCAACACAAACUCGUCACAGAGCAAUAUGCCCAGACUGGACACCCCCCACCAUUACCCCCACCACCCCCUCUGUAGGUGCUCAUUAUAAGAAGGCAAGCUUUGUUUGAGCCAAUCGCCCCGAAGAACUUUUGUUCGUGGAAAUGCAAAAAAAUGGACGAAAUUGUAUUAACAGAAUAAGGCUGGUUAAAUUGCACCCCAAAUUAUUUUUCCACUGAUAGGAAAAGUUGUCAACAUAGUUCCUUUGUAAACUGUAAAAACCAAGCUACACCUUCACUAUCUCUCAGCAGCUCGCACACAAAGUCGUUUUCCUUCUAACAGAGCCCAACCCACCCACAACGCGCCAUUUUUUUUCCUCCUCCCUGCCCAUUGUGACAGUCGAGAGCGAUUGGAACAGCACCCGACGGCUUUUACCUCGGGUUGACCUGAGUUUCAACUCGCCUCCUUCCCCGCCCUCGCCUCCUCUCUCGCAUCUCCGGCCCACUUUGAAUGUCGUCCGUUUCUUGCGGCUCAUUACCGCCCGCCGUGGCUCGCUUGUACAAGCAUAAAGUCUCAGAUGGUUGCUCUGAUGCGCAGAUCGUUUGCUUUUUCCUCAUCUUCUGUGAUUUCUCUUGCAGUGCAGAUUACCGGGUUCAUUUAAGUUGAGUACUGCAUCUCCGAUGCUUCCUUUUUCCAAGCGUGCACUAGCUGCUGUAUGUAUCCUAAAUCCCUAGCGAAUGUGGAGGGCCACGUUUAUUUGAUUUUUUUUCCCCUUUUUUUUAUGAUAAUCUUGCAUCGUUGCUCAUGCAAAUGAUCUCAUUAAAAUGUGAUCAUCACACCGGCGUAAAUACUCAUGUAACCGUGUGACAGGACGAAGGCAAGAGGGACGAAACCUGUUUAACAAGAGACGAAGAGCACAUAAUUGCCUCUCCGUGCCGCUUGGCGCCCUUCUUUUGCCCUGUUGGUUUUACCCUUGACCUCUCAUCACCGCCGCAACGGCGGAUCAUCUGGGUCACGACCCCUGAGGAGAACGUUCUCUUUUGCUCACCUCUGCCUGCUCCUCUCUCCUUUGCAAUCAGAGAUCCUUUCAAAUGUCAAGGUGGGACAAAUGGGAGCUAUUCCCGCUUGUAAUGGGCAGCAGAAAUGAGGGGCUUCUCUCUCUCUUUCUCUUUCUCACACACACUCUCUCUUUUUGAGGAUACAUUUGCCAAAGUCUACUUUCAACAUCCAUCCAUCCAUCCAUCCAUUAUCUACCGCUUAUCCGGGGCCGGCUCGCGGGGGCAACAGCUUUAGCAGGGAAGCCCAGACUUCCCUCUCCCUAGCUACUUCUUCCAGCUCUCCCCGGGGGAUCCCGAGUCGUUCCCAGGCAAGCUGGGUGACAUAGUCUCUCCAGCGUGUCCUGGGUCUUCCUCGGGGUCUCCUCCCGGUGGGACAUGACCGGAACACCUCACCGGGGAGGCGCUCAGGAGGCAUCCGAAUCAGAUGCCCAAGCCACCUCAUCUGGCUCCUCUCGAUGUGGAGGAGAAGCGGCUCGACUCUGAGCCCCUCCCGGAUGACUGAGCUUCUCACCUUAUCUCUAAGGGAGAGCCCGGACACCCUACUUUCAACAGCAAAAGGAAUUAAAAACAAACAUCCCUCCUCAUAAUGGUCUCAUAUAUUUUCAUGAAGUAUUAUUCUGCAAAUGAUAUUUGAAGGGCGUAGAUGUCAUAAUGGAGUCUUAAUAGCCCGAUUCAUUAAUGUGAUUGUUGUUGUGUACAGAUUACACGGCAGUGUCAUUUGGAAAACGGAUAGAUGGUGCCUGGCCACUUGCAUCGGUGGUAAUGAUAAUUGCCGUUUAGGAAUUUGCGAAGGCCGCAAAAGCAGAAACCCUGGAAGCGAAAAAUGUAUCCCAAGCGAGUGCGGCCAUACUCGGGGGUGUCAAAGCCAAAGAGGACCUCUAGAUGAUGGCUGCAUCUAUGCUUUUGAGGGCUGAGAAUUUGAUCCUUUCUUAUCUUUCCAACCAUCCCUGUGGCAAUGGAGUGGUGAGAGACGCAAUCACGCCCUUCUUCCCUGCCUGACAGGAAACCACCUCUGAAAAUACAGCAGCUCUGAUUGGAGGGUGUUUGAACUUGCUGUGUUGCUUUCCACAUCCGAAUACUUCAGCAUUGAUUUGGUGGGCAGAUUACCAUGUGGGCACACAGCAGUGCUUCUCCCCCUGUAUUGGGCAAGAAAUCCGAAAUAUAUACAGUAUAUUUGUUGAUAUGACUCUUAUAUUUGCAUCUCAGUAGCCAUAGCUGAUGUUGACUUCUGAGGAACAUAUUUUGUCCCAGGGGACGUUAUAUUCCGGCUCAAGGAAAUAGAGUGGAGGUCGGUUUUCGGGUGAAGGGUAAUGAAUGUCACAUGUGAAACAGAUUUACGUGGAGGGGAAAGUUGAGCAUUUUAUUUGAGCCAGGAUCAAAACAUGGAAAAAGCACCUCGGCGAUCCUCUUGUACAGCCGUUAAUGAUGUUGUGACUGUGCCCCCAGUGACAGCUUGUAAGAAUGUGGGCCCAACUUUCCUGACAGCUGACAAAAGCUAAUUUUCCUUUUUAAGUCCGCCGGGGCGUUGCGGACCUGCAAAUCAAUUGCCGGGGUUCCCCCCCCCCCCUCCCCCUCAGCGUUACCCUGAGAUGUUUGAACACGUUGUAGGUGACAUGUUUUCAUACAGCAGCCUUUAUUGUCGGACAGCUGCAGGGAGAGAAAUGUCAGAGACGUGGCGCUUGCUCUUCAACGCAGCUGCGAUUUGACUUGGUAGGAUGUUUGAGCUUUUCAGGCUGAUGAAGAAAUCUCACCUGUUUUCAGAAGCCUCCAAAUGUUGCCUUUGAAAAAGCACAUCAAGUCAGCAUUUAUCACCAACCUUCUAGGCCGACUAUUUCCAUGGGAAAACCGCAGGCAAAAUAAAUGUUCGAUUGUCAGGCUGAGAGGCCUGUUGCCUCCUUUUCGGCUUUGCGAGAAGCUACUAAUGUUCUUGUCCAGUGCUAGCCAAUUGCUUUCGCUGCGUGCCUGGAGAAAGACGCCAGGCUAAUACAUUUGAAUCGGUGAAGCGAAGGUUGUGCAGAAUUACUUUCAACCCCUUUCCCCUCCGAACACCCCCUCUUUUUUCAUUUUAAUUUCCCCAUUGGAUUGACAAACCAUUUUCACGAUUAGCACUGUGAGUCCGUGCGAGCGCGUGCGUAUGCCUGUGUGUGCGUGUGUCUCCAGAGCAGAUAAGACAAAUAAAUAGGUGCAAUGUUUCCCGGUAAUUAUAUUGUGGUGAGGCAUAAGAACAACAUUCAACGCUGUGAUAUGACGCUACAUGACACCACAAAGGCCCUGAGAGGCAGAAUCCAACUUGAACUUGACAGCUUCGGGCAUUAAUGACAAGCUAACCCUGAAACUGAGGGGCCUUUGGGGACUUCAAACCAGGCUGUGUUUCCUUUACGAUUAUAGAUAAGAGACUGAUACAUGACCUCUGUCAUUUUUAAAGACUCUAACAUUUUGAAAUCAACCCUCACAGGUGUAAUCGGCACGAGAAUAGACGGGAGAGGCUUUUCAGGGGUGUUAAACUGCCCCACCAAGCAAUUUUACUAUAAUGCCUUCCAGAUGAUAAGAGUCGAAAUGGAUUUGCAUUAGCACAGGGAGUGUGGAGUCACUGAUGCAGAACUACUGGAGCUCUGGCUGACACUCCACUCAUCAAGGACCGAUAAAGGCAUUUCGUGGUCUCUUUUUGGCAUGACGCACACACAGUGUAGCAAGCAUGACCCCCCCCCCACCCCAAUUUUUUUUUUAAUCUAUUCUUGCUCUCUGCCCAUUGUGUCGCUUUUGUCCCAGGGCCAUUUGAACUGGUGAUGAAACAGGAUGCGGCAGCCUAAAAAUUCAAUAAACAUCUUUUCAGGUGUGACGAGCUAAUUUGGAUGGUGAAAAGAGAGACUUUUCAAACCGGCUAAAUUCAAACAUUUUCACGGUUAUGUCUCCAUUCAUAUCCAAGCAUGUGGCAUAAAAGUAUGCAAUGCAUCUCAGCAUGGAUCUUUUCUCUAUUGAUGAAGCAUGGCAAAGAAUAAUCGGUUCCAAAGAUUUGGGGGUUUGAUUUUUCCAGCAAACCAGCAAAACUGAAAUGAACUCGUUGCACCUGCAUCUGAGAAAGUAACAAGCAUCAUUCACCAAAACAAAACAACUUGUUUGGUUUCAGGGAUCAUUUAAAAGGGAAACUCCCUCACCUUUUAACCAUGAGGAGAACAUUGUAAACACCACAUGAGCCGAGCAAUCUUUUUAUUGCGUUACACUUGAUAAAAACCUGGGCGGGAAAAAAAAAAGUCGUUCUGCUUGUAGUUGCGUGAGCGAAGCCGUUCCCACAGCUGGUGGGAAACAAAGAGCAGGAAACAGGAAAAAAAAAGAAUAAAAAUACUCCAAUGGCUUGGCGCUUUUUGAGAAAGAAAAUCCAUCUCCUGCCUUGUAAGUUGUAAAUCACCCCAAGAGUGUCACAAACAAGUGGGCAAUUGCUAUGCAUGUUGAAAGCUUUGCGUCGGCUCUUUUUUUUCGUUAUUUAUGUGGAUAGAAUUUUAAGCACUGCCUUCCUAUUGUACAAUCGACAGUUUCUGGAAAUAGCUGCAAUAAUUCUUAUCAGGACCGUGAAACGAGAGAGUGGAACCCGAUCACCCCUAACGUGACAAAACAAGUGAUUGAAUUUGUGAAUCUUAGCAACUCCAUUUGUGAAAAGGGGGACAACAAAGGGUGCAUAUGGGGGCAAGUCUGUUCCCACUUGAGGGAAUUGUCCCACCCUGAGCUAGCAGAGAGUUUAAAUCGUUUUUUUUCUUUUAAAGCAGACCCUUUUAUUUAAGGACAUUUGGAAUCAAGGCGCAUUGUUUUGACAUUAAUUUGUUCGUCAAGCUAAAGAAAAAAAGUCCCUGUGCCCAGAAGCGGCGUAUUUUGUAAGAAGACGGAAAGGGCGAGAAUGUUUCCAAAAACCUGCCAUUCAGUAUAUGCCUCCAUGACUGCCAAGUAAUUCUCCAAUAAAAAAAAAAAACAAA